AAAAGACGAGGAGAAGUGUUUUGGUUGGUAAGCCGAUUCGCCAUGGAACUUGAGCCCAUUACUAAGUUCUACAAUAGCAACUAUCUUUCUAUCAAUGGUGCUUGCACCGACCGUGAAGAUCCAAGGUGAAGCAUUUUCCAAAGUUGAUAACACCGGACCACUAUUUCCUGCUGAUGCACUCACAAAUAUGCCCUUUUUAACAGCUUUGAAUGUACCAAUCGAUACCACAUCAUUGUAGAGUGGUGUUUCAAGGCUUCCAAGUGAAAGUGAGAUGACAUCAACACCAUCCUCCAUUGCUUUAUCG
rnacentral:lncRNA from 1 species